CCACGAAGCUGUUAAAAAGGUGGUGGUGGUGGUGUUUCGCCCUACCACUCGUACCAGUGCCGUAAGACAGAAGACGCGUGCCUGUAUCGUCGGAUGACUACUCAAUACCCUCAGAUCAAUAGAAGAUAUUAGCACGGUCAUCCGGCUCCAAAUUAGGAUUCGCUGGGCUAUAGGUACCAGAAAUUGACAUACAUACUUAUAUACUUUUAAAUAUAUAGAUAAAUGGACAAUAAACACUCAGACAAAUAGCACACAAACCUGUUUAUCACACAAUGUUUGCCCAAUGCGGGAAUCAAACCGAAGACCCUCGUCGCAACAGUCAAGAACGCUAAAUUCUGCACCACCGAGUCUGCCAACCACAUGAGAAAGUGUAAUCAAAAUUCUACUAAUUAAAAACUGAGAAGCCAGUCUCUGUAGUCAAAAUCGGCAUACUUGAUUCUUGAUUACACUAAAAUUAGUGUAUUGCUCGUUGUUGCGUCUAUUUCUUAGAUGUAUCUUGAGGUGGCCAAGAAAAUGAAUAAAUGCGUUUACUUCUUCAAA